UGGUCUUGAACAGGGUUACAGAACUCAUGGCUGUGUGCAGUGUGGGGAGGACAGCCGUGAGGCCCUUGGGGGCUGGGGUGUCUGCAGACACCCGCUCCGAGAAGGGCUUUUGCAGCAGGAGGAGUGCAUGCAGCAGCCUUUGCCAAGGCAGGAAUUCCUGGGUGAAUCUAUGUAUCUAUGAUCACAUUCCCAUAAAGACAGACAAUGAGAGAAAUCAACAUCAAUGAAAAUCCAGCAGUGGGGUGAAAGGACUUAAAAGAAGCCUACAAGAAGAAUGCACGAGUUGCAGUGCUGCAGGAAUUUUCCUCAAUCAAGGUGACACGGGAAAGUACAGUGCUAUCUGAGAAGAUAUUCUGGAUGUCAUUUCCAAAAAUCUGUGGGGCAACUGGUACCGUUUCUGUACAACUGCAGUGUGGGAUUCAGAUGAUGCUGGUUCAAUGGCUGUUGAUACCAACAAUGUACAUGAGUUUG